CUUGAGUACAUUUUUAGCGCUGUAUCAGUACUUUUACUGCGCUACUUUCCCUCAACCUGCCGUCGCUACUUUAUAUGUUUAUUUUUUCGUCAACGGUGAUUGGCUAAGGAGAAUAAUCAGUCCCGUGAUUCCCGUCGAAUCAAAUCACACAUAGAAAACUUGCAUCAGACAGACUUCAAGACACCUGGCGCCAAUUUAGUUUAAUCAUGGAGGAGGGAGGAAGUGUGGUGGAUGCUUCAACAUGCAACAGCUCAAAUACAGCACUUCAGCAUCCUUGGCCACACCUGAAGCAGCUUUUUGCAGUGAAGGCGAAGAAGGGCAAUUGUGUCAUUAUGUCCUGUCAACUUUGCCUGCCUAGACCUGUUGAAAUAUUGGCAUUCAAGAGUUCUUCCUCUAAUUUGAAAAAACACAUCGAGAGAAAACAUCCAUCGAAAUUAAAGCAGUACAAAGAAUGUGUCUUGAAAAGAAAAAACUCAGAAGAACAGAGGUGUGAUUCAGCUGUGAAACAGAUGAAGAUUAAAGACUACUCCAUGUCAUGCAGGCAGGUUACUCAGUCCACAAUUGACAGGCUUGUAGUUGAGUUUGUCUGGGAAAGCCUUCAGCCCUUUACCAUAGUUGAACUUCCAACAUUCAAAAAUCUAAUCCAUACAAUGCAACCUAGCUGUACAGUUAUGUCCAGACCAACUGUGAAGUUGAGAAUCGAGGAAGCAGCCGCAAAGGUAAAAAAAAACAUUGCUGAGAUGGCAAAAGUCAGCUAUAUAGAUACCACUACUGAUUGUUGGACAGCUCGACAACGGAGUUACAUCGGUGUAACCGCACACUGGAUCGAUGAAUCUACACUGGAAAGAAGGUCUGCUUCGAUUGCCUUUAGACGCUUGAAAGGAUCCAUACAUUUGAUUUGCUUGCAGGGUGUUAUGUGGCUAGGCGAUAAGAUGUUCAAAAGUGUCGCGCCGGCCCUGCUUGUCCGGGAGGACAAUAUAUAUGGUAUGAAAGGAGCCAAGUGCGGAGACGGAUCAAAAGACUCCGCCUAAAAUGCGGCCGCCUAAAGCGGGACACGAACCGGAGAGUUUGUGAACCCCAAGCUGUAACUGAGCUAAUUCUAUUGUAUGGGAUUUGUGAGUGUUGCAGUGCUUGUGAAACUGGAUCGGGAAGCUCAGAUCCAACGGCUGAACUCAAAAGCGCUGCAGUGCGGCGGAAAAACAACUCAAAACUGGCCCUCCUUCUGGCCGAACUUAAAGGCACCAAAUGAGACAAAAAUCUCUAACUUAAGAUGGCUGAAUCUUUAUCUGGGAGUGAGGACUCUCAGUCUGUCCUCCUCUUUAGUUUUGUGCCUACUUCCUCUUUAAUCCUGAGCUCCCUUUUCUUUCUUUCCCUCAAUAAUUUCUCUCCCUUUCCUUUUCUUUCUAAACCUAAAUAUUUUAUUUUAUUUCUUUUCUUCUUUUUUUACAUAUCAAAAUCACCGAUCAGAGUAGCGUGGCGCUGCUCUGUUACCUGGCACAGAUCUAUAUCUGCACGCGGAGUGAGGCAAUCAGAGGGCUUAUAAAGAGGCGCGGCCAGGUGCUGCACGUUUACACUGAUUACCUUCUUGAGAUCACCUCGUUAUAAAAGCCCGUGCAGGUGGCCGUGGAUCUGCCUGAGAAGGCACCUGCCGCGUUACACAGGGAUCCUGGAUGACAUCCACUCGGAAUAUGGCAUCUCAGGAAAAAUAGUCAGAACAACAACAACUGAUAGUGGAUCAAAUUUAAUUAAAGCAUUUAAGGUGUAUGGUGAACAGAGUCAGCAAGAGUUGACUGGUGCUGACUCUGCUGAGGCAGUGACACUGGAGAGUGAGGAAGAUGCAGAAGGAGUUGAGGUUCAGGACACCUGUUCUAUUUUAAACACUAACAGUGGGUUGGAGUAUCAUCUACCCGAGCAUCAGCGUUGCGCGUGUCAUCAUCUUAAUUUGGUGGCUACUGUGGAUGCUUCCAAGGCAGAGGACAGCAGUGAGGUAUAUAAGAAGCUUACCCGUUCAACGUUUGCAAAAUGCCAGGCAUUAUACAAUAAAACCAGCCGGUCUGCCAUCAAUGCAGAGAUUGUCCAAGAAGAAUGUAAGCUGCAGUUCAUUCAGCCCAACCACACAAGAUGGAAUUCGGUGUACAGUGCUGCAGAGAGGGUAAUGCGGAUCCUAAAGGAGCAGGGAGAAGCAUCCCUUCAGAAUGUAUGUGCAGCAUUCAAAAUGAAAAUGUCAGUCUGUUUGCUCAAUCUCACAUUGUUCUAAUUGGAGUACUUAAGGUGUUUGUUUCUUGCUUCUCUGAAUACUGCACUGUGAUGAAGCCUGUAUCCAUGGCCUUGAACAUCCUUGAGUCUGAAACCAACACUCAGAUGGGGUGGCUGCUUCCCACCAUCUACCUUCUUGAAUCCAAGUUCAGAAAGAUGGAGAAGAUGGAGGCUUCAGUCAAGGUAUGUCUUCCCCUUAUUCGUGCUCUGCAGCAGGCUCUACAAAAGCGCUUUGGGGAGUUUAUGGAAGAUCCGGAGCUCGUCAGUGCUGCAAUUCUUCUUCCAAAAUUCAAAAUGUCAUGGACAGACAAGGCCCACAUCAUAAAAGCAGGUAAGAUGUUCCUAAUAUUUUGUCAGGAGUCAUGGGUACAUUUUGCUUAUCCCACUUGUAACUUGUCCACUACUGUGUAUGGGUUUGUGUGGAGUUAAGCUAUUGGUUCAAUAUUUAUUUACUUGCCUACUGUAGCACAGUCAGACUGUGAAACAGUGUUAGAAAAGACAAGGGUAUUGAGUUAUAGGGGAGUAAAUGCAGCAGGGCUUAUGUAGCAAGUGAACGGUUUUAUUUAAUUUCUAAACUAUCCAUGACAACCCCAAUAGUUGGUCCAUAACACACUAGUAAACAUGCCAUAGUUUGUCUGUCAGCAUUAUCCACAAUUAUUAUUAAUGUUUGUGUGUAUGGUAGGUAUGGAUUACAUCCUGCAUUAUCUUGAUGCCAUUAAGGGCACCCAGCAAAACGAAUCACAACAUGACGCCUCUGACGAGGAUGACUUCUUUUCUUCCAUUAAGACUGUUCCAUCCCCAACUGCAUCUGAAUUGGAUGGAUACUUGGCUUGUGCCUCAGAAGAGAUGGGACUGCUUCACUCGUUUCCUUUGGUGAAAAAGCUAAGCCUCAAACUGAACACACCCUUGCCUGCCUCUGCAGCAUGUGAGUGCCUUUUUAGUUGUGCUGGGCAGCUGUUUACACCUAAACGCGCAAGGCUGGACAGUACAAAUUUUGAGAAUCAGCUCAUUGUAAAACUGAAUAACAAAUUCAGAAUAUAGGCUCGUUGUUGACCCCUGCACUAAAAUCGCUGCAAGCCUGCGUUCAUGUUCAGAGACUUGUCAGUUAAUGCAUGUUCUAUUCACUUCAGUGUCAUUUUCUAAUUUGUGCUACAGGCUCAUCUUUUUAUGUUAAAUUGUUAAUGUACAAUGCUUUGCAACCUUUAUUAACCUGCAAGAAGACCUCUACAGAAUGCUUGGCAUAAAUGUUACCUGAUUAUUGGUUGCUUUAUCAAAUAUUACAUGCCUGGAUUUUCAGUGCUAGCAGUCAGAACAGGGUUCCCACAGGUCCUUGAAAGUUUGUGAAUCUGAAAAAAAAAAAUUCAAGGCCCUGGAAAGUUUUUGAAAAUAAACAUACAUAGAUACAGAAGAUUACAAAGAAUGGCUUGCCAGAGAUCCAAAGGACCAUCACUUGGCCAGGUGCAGAGCCUGUUGUAAAUCUCUCAAAGUGCAUAGGAUGGGAGAAGCGGCUCUUUCAAGUCAUGCAGCUGGAUCUACACACAAGACGGCACUGCGGAAAUCGGAAGCAGCACCCACUUUAGUCAACUUUGUGGAAAGGUUGGUGACAUCAACUCCUACACCAUGUAGACCUGCAACGGCUACCACCAUUGCCACAUCCUCCAAACAGUCAAUAAUCACAGAGAGGACACAUUAAAAGCUCAGGUCCUGUGGUGUUUGAACAUGAUGGAGUCUCACUACUCUUUCAAUUCCAGUGAAGGGACAGGUGUGCUAUUUUCUGCAAUUUUUUCCAACAGUGCAGUUGCGAAGACUUUUGCCUGUGGAGCAACAAAGUCCACGUACAUUUGCACGCAUGGUUUGGCUCCGCAUUUCAAACACUUGUUGUGCAAAAAACUCUCUUCUAAUAGGGAGGACUAUGAUGUUUUCAGUGCUUACACCGAACCCAAAUAUGUUCAGUCAAUGACUGUAUCUUGUGUUCAAUAAACAAAACAUUUGUGAUAAUCUGUUGCCCAAAUAUUUUAUUUAAUGUAAUGUUGAAUUGCUUUGCUUGUUAAGAUAAUGUAAACCCAUGAGGUGAGAAAAACUUAAAAGCAUAUUCAUAUGUCUUAAAACUUCUGGUUACAUGAUCCUAAGCUCCUUUCAAUAAAAUCCAUGCAAAAGUUAAUAUCAGAAUUUUUAGAAUACAAUAUAGGAUAUACCGAACAUUCUUCAGUUUUAUGCAAAACAGAAAUACGACAAAUAGAAUAUCAGAUCUGUCAUAUGGCCAAAAAUAAAUGCAAAAAAAUGUUUUUUUGCAUAGUUGUUUGACACAUAAACUGUAACAAUGUAUCUUAACAAGGUAACACGAUGUAACCUUGCUCUCACUUGAAAUGUGUAUUGGGUAUUGGACCUGGAUAGUCCUUGAUAGGUCCUUGAAAUUGAAGUUAACCAAGGUGUGGGAACCCUGGUGUUAGUCUCGAUUCAUACAGAAUUGUGCUGCUCUACUUUCCAUGGUAACAAAAUAAGAAUUUUCUAAUCUCAGGAUCUACCUGAUAAUUAUCUUCUGUAGGAAGAAUAAUUGUGAAGUAAAAGUUUGUUGUUCUGUUGUAGUGGAAUAUACCAUAGCGCUAUUCAGGGCACUCCCCACACUCUUUCCUUCUCCGACUGCACCACCUAAGAAGCUGGGACAUGCCAGUGAGGCAUUGCUACAUGUCCUUCAGCAAACAGAAGAUCCCACAAUCUACCUUCAGACGAGAUCUCUCUCCAGCCCUGUUUUGCUGUUUGAUGGUUCCAACUGUCUUAUCGCUAUUGGAACUACUCCCUUCACCACAUUUGCCAAGGAAGACUUCAGUGAAGGCCUGCUGUAUCUGAUGGCUUACUACUACACCCUUCAUCUUACAUACUCUAAGUGUGUGGCAACCCUCUGGCAAACAUCUGGAGGAGUUGGAGGGACUGAUGUUCUGUGUUCAAGGAAUUUAAGAAAAAAGUAAAUGUUUA